rnacentral:tRNA from 1 species
AUUUAUUUAAUAUAACCAGUAUAAUUAGCUUCCAACUAAAAAGUUCAUAGAAUUGAAGUAAAUA